UACGUAGGGUGCAAGCGUUAAUCGGAAUUACUGGGCGUAAAGGGUGCGUAGGCGGGUCUUUAAGUCAGGGGUGAAAUCCUGGAGCUCAACUCCAGAACUGCCUUUGAUACUGAAGAUCUUGAGUUCGGGAGAGGUGAGUGGAACUGCGAGUGUAGAGGUGAAAUUCGUAGAUAUUCGCAAGAACACCAGUGGCGAAGGCGGCUCACUGGCCCGAUACUGACGCUGAGGCACGAAAGCGUGGGGAGCAAACAGGG
rnacentral:rRNA from 1 species